CGUAGGGGGCAAGCGUUGUCCGGAUUUAUUGGGCGUAAAGAGCUCGUAGGCGGUUCCGUAAGUCGUGAAGUCAAAUCUCUGGGCUCAACCCAGAAUCGCUUCCGAUACUGCGGUGACUGGAGUCCGGUAGGGGAGUGUGGAAUUCCUGGUGUAGCGGUGAAAUGCGCAGAUAUCAGGAGGAACACCAACAGCGAAGGCAGCACUCUGGGCCGGUACUGACGCUGAGGAGCGAAAGCAUGGGGAGCGAACAGGAUUAGAUACCCUGGUAGUCCAUGCCGUAAACGUUGGGCACUAGGUGUGGGGAGGAAUCAACCCUUUCCGCGCCGUAGCUAACGCAUUAAGUGCCCCGCCUGGGGAGUACGGCCGCAAGGCUA
rnacentral:rRNA from 1 species